rnacentral:rRNA from 1 species
CCUACGGGUGGCAGCAGUGAGGAAUAUUGGUCAAUGGACGGAAGCCUGAACCAGCCAUGUCGCGUGCAGGAAGACGGCCCUAUGAGUUGUAAACUGCUUUUGUACAAGGGUAAACCUGAAUACGUGUAUUCAGCUGAAAGUACUGUACGAAUAAGGAUCGGCCAACUCCGUGCCAGCAGCCGCGGUAAUACGGAGGAUCCAAGCGUUAUCCGGGUUUAUUGGGUUUAAAGGGUGCGUAGGCGGAUUGAUAAGUUCGGGGUGAAAUGUCCGAGCUUAACUCGGGAACUGCCUCUAAUACUGUUGAUCUAGAGAGUAGAUGCGGUAGGCGGAAUGUAUGGUGUAGCGGUGAAAUGCUUAGAGAUCAUACAGAACACCGAUUGCGAAGGCAGCUUACCAAUCUAUAUCUGACGUUGAGGCACGAAAGCGUGGGGAGCAAACAGGAUUAGAUACCCUUGUAGUC